rnacentral:rRNA from 1 species
GACGAACGCUGGCGGCGUGCUUAACACAUGCAAGUCGAACGGAAAGGCCCUGCUUUUGUGGGGUGCUCGAGUGGCGAACGGGUGAGUAACACGUGAGUAACCUGCCCUUGACUUUGGGAUAACUUCAGGAAACUGGGGCUAAUACCGGAUAGGAGCUCCUGCUGCAUGGUGGGGGUUGGAAAGUUUCGGCGGUUGGGGAUGGACUCGCGGCUUAUCAGCUUGUUGGUGGGGUAGUGGCUUACCAAGGCUUUGACGGGUAGCCGGCCUGAGAGGGUGACCGGCCACAUUGGGACUGAGAUACGGCCCAGACUCCUACGGGAGGCAGCAGUGGGGAAUAUUGCACAAUGGGCGGAAGCCUGAUGCAGCAACGCCGCGUGCGGGAUGACGGCCUUCGGGUUGUAAACCGCUUUCGCCUGUGACGAAGCGUGAGUGACGGUAAUGGGUAAAGAAGCACCGGCUAACUACGUGCCAGCAGCCGCGGUGAUACGUAGGGUGCGAGCGUUGUCCGGAUUUAUUGGGCGUAAAGGGCUCGUAGGUGGUUGAUCGCGUCGGAAGUGUAAUCUUGGGGCUUAACCCUGAGCGUGCUUUCGAUACGGGUUGACUUGAGGAAGGUAGGGGAGAAUGGAAUUCCUGGUGGAGCGGUGGAAUGCGCAGAUAUCAGGAGGAACACCAGUGGCGAAGGCGGUUCUCUGGGCCUUUCCUGACGCUGAGGAGCGAAAGCGUGGGGAGCGAACAGGCUUAGAUACCCUGGUAGUCCACGCUGUAAACGGUGGGUACUAGGUGUGGGGUCCAUUCCACGGGUUCCGUGCCGUAGCUAACGCUUUAAGUACCCCGCCUGGGGAGUACGGCCGCAAGGCUAAAACUCAAAGGAAUUGACGGGGCCCCGCACAAGCGGCGGAGCAUGCGGAUUAAUUCGAUGCAACGCGUAGAACCUUACCUGGGUUUGACAUGGAUCGGGAGUACUCAGAGAUGGGUGUGCCUCUUUUGGGGUCGGUUCACAGGUGGUGCAUGGCUGUCGCCAGCUCGUGUCGUGAGAUGUUGGGUUAAGUCCCGCAACGAGCGCAACCCUUGUUCACUGUUGCCAGCACGUUAUGGUGGGGACUCAGUGGAGACCGCCGGGGUCAACUCGGAGGAAGGUGGGGAUGACGUCAAGUCAUCAUGCCCCUUAUGUCCAGGGCUUCACGCAUGCUACAAUGGCUGGUACAGAGAGUGGCGAGCCUGUGAGGGUGAGCGAAUCUCGGAAAGCCGGUCUCAGUUCGGAUUGGGGUCUGCAACUCGACCUCAUGAAGUCGGAGUCGCUAGUAAUCGCAGAUCAGCAACGCUGCGGUGAAUACGUUCCCGGG